rnacentral:rRNA from 1 species
AGUGAACGCUGGCGGCAGGCCUAACACAUGCAAGUCGAGCGGCAGCGCGGGGGCAACCCUGGCGGCGAGCGGCGGACGGGUGAGGAAUUCGUCGGAAUCUGCCUUUUUGUGGGGGAUAACGUAGGGAAACUUACGCUAAUACCGCAUACGUCCUACGGGAGAAAGUGGGGGACCGCAAGGCCUCACGCAGAAAGAUGAGCCGACGACCGAUUAGCUAGUUGGUGGGGUAAAGGCCCACCAAGGCGACGAUCGGUAGCUGGUCUGAGAGGAUGAUCAGCCACACUGGGACUGAGACACGGCCCAGACUCCUACGGGAGGCAGCAGUGGGGAAGAUUGGACAAUGGGCGCAAGCCUGAUCCAGCCAUGCCGCGUGUGUGAAGAAGGCCUUCGGGUUGUAAAGCACUUUUGUCCGGAAAGAAAUCCCUGGAGCUAAUACCUUCGGGGGAUGACGGUACCGGAAGAAUAAGCACCGGCUAACUUCGUG